rnacentral:misc_RNA from 1 species
AACGCACAUUGCGCCCCUUGGUAUUCCAUGGGGCAUGCCUGUUCGAGCGUCAUCUACACCCUCAAGCUCUGCUUGGUGUUGGGCGUCUGUCCCGCCUCUGCGCGCGGACUCGCCCCAAAUUCAUUGGCAGCGGUCUUUGCCUCCUCUCGCGCAGCACAAUUGCGUCUGCGAGGGGGCGUGGCCCGCGUCCACGAAGCAACAUUACCGUCUUUGACCUCGGAUCAGGUAGGGAUACCCGCUGAACUUAA